UACGGGGGGGGCAAGCGUUGUUCGGAAUUACUGGGCGUAAAGGGCGCGUAGGCGGUCGUGACAAGUCACUUGUGAAAUCUCCGGGCUUAACUCGGAACGGUCAAGUGAUACUGUCGUGCUAGAGUACAGAAGGGGCAACUGGAAUUCUCGGUGUAGCGGUGAAAUGCGUAGAUAUCGAGAGGAACACCUGCGGCGAAGGCGGGUUGCUGGGCUGAUACUGACGCUGAGGCGCGAAAGCUAGGGGAGCGAACGGG
rnacentral:rRNA from 1 species